AUGACCCAGACAAGACGACUAGGAAGGAGGAGUUUGCACACACAACCACACACAACCACACAGCACAACCACACACAACAUACAACCAACCACAACCACACACAACCACACAGCACAACCACACACAACAUACAACCAACCACAACCACACACAACCACACAGCACAACCACACACAACAUACAACCAACCACAACCACACACAACCACGGACAACCUCACACAACAUACAACCAACCACAACCACACACAACCACACAGCACAACCACACACAACAUACAACCAACCACAACCACACACAACCACACAGCACAACCACACACAACAUACAACCAACCACAACCACACACAACCACACAGCACAACCACACACAACAUACAACCAACCACAACCACACACAACCACACAGCACAACCACACACAACAUACAACCAACCACAACCACACACAACCACGGACAACCUCACACAACCUCAUACAACCUCCACCACACCCCUCACAACCACAACCCCACACUUCACACAAUACAACCUCACACCACACACCUCACACAACAGCACACACACCUCACACAACCACACCUCACACAACCACACAGCACAACCACACACAACAUACAACCAACCACAACCACACACAACCACGGACAACCUCACACAACAUACAACCAACCACAACCACACACAACCACACAGCACAACCACACACAACAUACAACCAACCACAACCACACACAACAUACAACCAACCACAACCACACACAACCACGGACAACCUCACACAACAUACAACCAACCACAACCACACACAACCACACAGCACAACCACACACAACAUACAACCAACCACAACCACACACAACCACGGACAACCUCACACAACAUACAACCAACCACAACCACACACAACCACACAGCACAACCACACACAACAUACAACCAACCACAACCACACACAACCACACAGCACAACCACACACAACAUACAACCAACCACAACCACACACAACCACACAGCACAACCACACACAACAUACAACCAACCACAACCACACACAACCACGGACAACCUCACACAACCUCAUACAACCUCCACCACACCCCUCACAACCACAACCCCACACUUCACACAAUACAACCUCACACCACACACCUCACACAACAGCACACACACCUCACACAACCACACCUCACACAACCACACACAAUCCUCACAACCACACCUCACACAACCCUCACACAGCCACACACUUCACACAUGACACAACCACACACACCUCACACAGCCUCCACCACACACCUCACAACACAACCACACACUUCACACGAUACCUCACACCACACACCUCACACAACAGCACAAACACACACCUCACACAACCACACCUCACACAAUCCUCACCACACCUCACAACCCUCACACAGCCACACACUUCACACAUGACAACCACAUACACCUCACACAACCACACACAAUCCUCACAACCACACCUCACACAACCACACACAAUCCUCAAUCUCACACAACCACACAUGACCAAACACAACCACACACAACACACAACCACACACCACAUACUUCACACAACCACACACAACACAAAACCACACACAAGCUCACAAAACAUACGUCAUACAACCACAUACACAACCUCACACCACCAUCCACAAAUCACACACAAUCUCACCAUGCAAGUAAACACAUAA
ensembl:lncRNA